AGUCAUAUGAAGUCGAAAGGUCUGGGAAGGCCAACCGUAGGGGGUAAUAGUCCCGUAGACGACAAUAUGAGUACUGGCGGUGUAUCCUGAGUACGGCGGAACACGUGGAAUUCCGUCGGAAUCUAGGAGGACCAUCUCCUAAGGCUAAAUACUCUCUAGUGACCGAUAGUGAACCAGUACCGUGAGGGAAAGGUGAAAAGCACCCCGGGAGGGGAGUGAAAUAGAACCUGAAACCGUGUGCCUGCAAGCGGUAGGAGGGGACUUAGGGUCCCUGACUGCGUGCCUUUUGCAUUAUGAUCCGGCGAGUUACUCGUCACGUGCGAGGUUAAGGGCCUCUGGCCCGGAGCCGAAGCGAAAGCGAGUCUGAACAGGGCGUGCUAGUACGUGGCGGUAGACCCGAAACCGAAGCGAUCUACCCAUGGCCAGGAUGAAGCUCGAGUAACAUCGAGUGGAGGUCCGAACGCGUAACUGUUGAAAAAGUUUGCGAUGAGCUGUGGGUAGGGGUGAAAGGCCAAUCAAACUCCGUGAUAGCUGGUUCUCCCCGAAAUGCAUUUAGGUGCAGCGUC
rnacentral:rRNA from 1 species